CUUCAUGCUCCGAGCCUUUUCAGAGUUCAAUUCAUAUAUUUUCUUGAAUUCUUGUUUUAAUGGUUGUUACUGCUCCGCAAAUUUGAGAACUCUAAUAUACUUUUUUGUCUUCUCGCUUAGUUAGAUUUUGAACUGAAAAUGGAAAUGGAACUGGUUUUGGAUUCAUUUUUGAACUCAUAUUGUGACUUCAUAUUCAGCAUACUAGAAUGGUAGUGUGAAGAUAGUUAGCUAAUGUCAUAGUUGUGUUGCAGAUUGAAAAGUAAUGGAAGAAGAAGAUAGUGUGAGCAUCAAUCCAACCCCCUUGUUUCGACCACCACCACCAAGCUCUUCGCAAGAUGUUAGGUUGAAUGAUGACGACGACGACAACAUGUCUAACAAUGAUGAUGAAUGUAAGUGUUUAUAAAAAAAAAAGGGGCUGAAUGUGAUUGACUAUUUUUAUGAAUAUACUUAUGGUCUUUAUUUUGUAGCUUUCUUCAUAUUAUGAGUUAGUUGUGUUUCCGGAUGGGAAAACGCGAGGUUGACAAGAUGGUGACGUGCGAAGAUAGAGAUGGAGGAAAUGGCAAGGCAAUAGAGAAGUGGUAUUUGAACAUUUGGAAGACCAACGAACUGUAAUUUGAUACAUUUGGUGUGAUUUGUAAUUUAUUUUUGAAAGAGAUAUUAUUUUUCAUACAUUUGGGUUUUGGUUCUUGAAAAUUUGUAUGAGAGAGAGGGAAUGAUGCUAUGUAUAAGCUCCUAUAAGAUAUGAAGAUCUUUUUACCUCUCUGUACUUGAUUAUAUUGGAAACCAAUAUAUUUUUAAUGCCUACA